rnacentral:rRNA from 1 species
AAAUUGAAGAGUUUGAUCAUGGCUCAGAUUGAACGCUGGCGGCAGGCCUAACACAUGCAAGUCGAACGGUAACAGGAAGCAGCUUGCUGCUUCGCUGACGAGUGGCGGACGGGUGAGUAAUGUCUGGGAAACUGCCUGAUGGAGGGGGAUAACUACUGGAAACGGUGGCUAAUACCGCAUAACGUCGCAAGACCAAAGAGGGGGACCUUCGGGCCUCUUGCCAUCAGAUGUGCCCAGAUGGGAUUAGCUGGUUGGUGAGGUAACGGCUCACCAAGGCGACGAUCCCUAGCUGGUCUGAGAGGAUGACCAGCCACACUGGAACUGAGACACGGUCCAGACUCCUACGGGAGGCAGCAGUGGGGAAUAUUGCACAAUGGGCGCAAGCCUGAUGCAGCCAUGCCGCGUGUAUGAAGAAGGCCUUCGGGUUGUAAAGUACUUUCAGCGGGGAGGAAG